AUGAACGCUGGCGGCGUGCCUAAUACAUGCAAGUCGCGCGAACAGACGAGGAGCCUGCUCCUCUGACGUUAGCGGCGGACGGGUGAGUAACACGUGGAUAACCUACCUAUAAGACUGGGAUAACUUCGGGAAACCGGAGCUAAUACCGGAUAAUAUAUUGAACCGCAUGGUUCAAUAGUGAAAGACGGUUUUGCUGUCACUUAUAGAUUGAUCCGCGCCGCAUUAGCUAGUUGGUAAGGUAACGGCUUACCAAGGCAACGAUGCGUAGCCGACCUGAGAGGGUGAUCGGCCACACUGGAACUGAGACACGGUCCAGACUCCUACGGGAGGCAGCAGUAGGGAAUCUUCCGCAAUGGGCGAAAGCCUGACGGAGCAACGCCGCGUGAGCGAUGAAGGUCUUCGGAUCGUAAAACUCUGUUAUUAGGGAAGAACAAAUGUGUAAGUAACUAUGCACGUCUUGACGGUACCUAAUCAGAAAGCCACGGCUAACUACGUG
rnacentral:rRNA from 1 species